rnacentral:rRNA from 1 species
UACGGGGGGGGGCAAGCGUUGUUCGGAAUUACUGGGCGUAAAGGGCUCGUAGGUGGCCAACUAAGUCAGACGUGAAACCCUCGGCUUAACCGGGGAACUGCGUCUGAUACUGGAUGGCUUGAGUUUGGGAGAGGGAUGCGGAAUUCCGAGGUGUAGCGGUGAAAUGCGUAGAUAUCUGGAGGAACACCGGUGGCGAAGGCGGCAUCCUGGACCAACACUGACACUGAGGAGCGAAAGCCAGGGGAGCAAACGGG